AAACCAAGAAGAUUAAGUUAUGUUCUAUCGGUGAAAAGAUAGUUAAGCAUUAAUAAAAGUUUUUUUAAUUAUUAUUAGGAAGUAAAAUUCGAAAAUAAUAUAGAAAUUUAACCAAGACUAAAAGGCUGAAGCUAUGACACCCUCGAGGGAAACUGGGAUUAGAUACCCCACUAUUCUUGGAUAUAAAAAGGUAUAUGUGUUUACCAGAGUACUAUGGAUUGCUUACAUUUAAAACUCAAAGAGCUUGGCGGUGUUUUAGACUUUUUAGGGGAACCUGUCUCAUAAUCGACAACCCACGUAAAACCUGACCUUUAUUUGCUCUCAGUUUGUAUACCGUCGUCGUCAGGUAACUUUUUAGAAAAAAGAAGUUAGCAACUGAGUUCACUAUAAACUCUUACGUCAGAUCAAGGUGCAGCUUAUAUAAUGGGGAGGAUGGGUUACAAUUAUAAAAGUUAUAACUACGAAAUAACAACUUUAAAUGAAGUUAUGAAGGAGGACUUAAAAGUAAAAUAGAAUAGAUAAAUAUAUUGAAUUAGGCUCUGAAACGUGC
rnacentral:rRNA from 1 species